rnacentral:lncRNA from 1 species
CUUGGAUCCACAGCCGCAGUUUGGGUGGCUGUAACCCUGCCCAGGAGGGCGGGGCGUUUGCCUGCUUCGUAGAGCAGGAGGUCUGGGUCUGCAGCCACGGUUUGGGCAGCUGCAGCGGCACCCAGGGAGCUACUGCCCCAGCUCAGAAGGGAUGGGGCUCCCACCGGCUCCAUGGAGUGUGCAGCCCACCGCUCUGCCUUCCUGCUGCCAUCAGUAUCUCCAGACAACAUGGGACACCGAAUGACAGCUGACAGAAAACCAUAAUCGAUAAAUGGCUGAUGCCUAAAUAGUGAGAGGAACUAAGAUUAAUGAUCUGUUUCUUUGGUUGUCUUUAUAAUGGAACCAAGCAUUAAGGAACUUACUUUGUGUUUUGUCUAUAAAGAGUAGAAACUUUUUGCUCACAAGGCAUAACUAUCUCACAUUUUUCUCAUUAUAAAAGCAAUCUCAUGGUACUGGACAGGGGAGAAAAUAAAAUAAUCACUCAUAUUUCUAUUAUUCCAACAAUGCAUGUGAUUAAUUGGUGAGUUUCUUUUCACUCUUUCUGCACAUUAAAAAAACCUGUGUUUAAUUGUAAGAUAUACACAUCCUACUUUAGCUGUAACAUAUAAAAAUGUUUUUAUCUAUACUCUUAGCCAUACCUAUUCCCGGAUGUCCUAUUAUUUAUUUACACAAUAUCCUACUGUUCUACAUGGUUGCUUUAUUUCACCUCUUAACAAUACCUGCAUUUUCAGACAGGCAGACGUCAACUGUACUAUCAAAGGAAGCUCUAUUAGCAUCCCCCAUUCAAAUUUUAUAGCUAAAUGGUUCUAAGUUAUUUCCUAAACACUCUUGACCCAUUCUUGUUUGGCGAUUUCUCUUACAUUGUGAAUUUAGAUUUUAAGCAUUAAUCUCCAGAAGAGCCUAAUGAAGUAGGUAUCAUGUUUUUUUGUGGGCAGAGAUGAAUCUGUUAUUCGGUGGCAAGGAUUAAACCCAGGUUGGUCUGACUCUAAAUGUGCGUCCUUCUCAUUCCAUGAAGCGCUUUACAUACUCACACAGUGUUCCCUGUUUGGGCUCUAGUUUCUCAUAUGUGACUCUAUCAUUAAAAUAAAAUUUGAGUGAGUGAAUAAAGAUUACCUUUGAA